rnacentral:rRNA from 1 species
CCUACGGGAGGCAGCAGUGGGGAAUCUUGCGCAAUGGGCGAAAGCCUGACGCAGCAACGCCGCGUGCGGGAAGAAGGCUUUCGGGCUGUAAACCGCUUUCAGCAGGAACGAAAAUGACGGUACCUGCAGAAGAAGGAGCGGCCAACUAUGUGCCAGCAGCCGCGGUGAUACAUAGGCUUCAAGCGUUGUCCGGAUUUAUUGGGCGUAAAGAGUUCGUAGGCGGUCGAGUAAGUCGGGUGUGAAAAUUCUGGGCUCAACCCAGAGACGCCACCCGAUACUGCUUGACUUGAGUUCGAUAGGGGAGUGGGGAAUUCCUAGUGUAGCGGUGAAAUGCGCAGGUAUUAGGAGGAACACCGGUGGCGAAGGCGCCACUCUGGAUCGAUACUGACGCUGAGGAACGAAAGCAUGGGUAGCAAACAGGAUUAGAUACCCUGGUAGUCCAUGCCGUAAACGGUGGGCACUAGGUGUGGGUUUCUAUUAACGAAAUCCGCGCCGUCGCUAACGCAUUAAGUGCCCCGCCUGGGGAGUACGGUCGCAAGACUAAAACUUAAGGAAUUGACGG